rnacentral:rRNA from 1 species
ACGCUCGACACCUACGGGGGGCAGCAGUGGGGAAUAUUGCACAAUGGGGGAAACCCGUGAUGCAGCGACGCCGCGUGAAGGAAGAAGUAUCUCGGUAUGUAAACUUCUAUCAGCAGGGAAGAAAGUGACGGUACCUGACUAAGAAGCCCCGGCUAAUUACGUGCUAGCAGCCGCGGUAAUCUGAGCGGGCUGGCAAGGC